GCCUUCGUAUUGUAGUGGUCAGCACGCUGGACAGGUAUUCCAGAGGUCCAUGGUUCGAGUCCCGGUGAGGACG
rnacentral:tRNA from 1 species